GCGAUCUCGCGAGGGUGAGCUAACUCCAAAAACCCGUCCUCAGUUCGGAUUGCAGGCUGCAACUCGCCUGCAUGAAGCAGGAAUCGCUAGUAAUCGCCGGUCAGCCAUACGGCGGUGAAUCCGUUCCCGGGCCUUGUACACACCGCCCGACACACUAUAGGAGCUGGCCAUGUUUGAAGUCAUUACCCUUAACCGUAAGGAGGGGGAUGCCUAAGGCUAGGCUUGCGACUGG
rnacentral:ncRNA from 1 species